UACGGAGGAUCCGAGCGUUAUCCGGAUUUAUUGGGUUUAAAGGGUGCGUAGGCGGAAAUGUAAGUCAGUGGUGAAAUCCUGCAGCUUAACUGUAGAAUAGCCGUUGAAACUGUGUUUCUUGAGUACAUUUGAGGUAGGCGGAAUGUGGUGUGUAGCGGUGAAAUGCGUAGAUAUACCACAGAACACCGAUUGCGAAGGCAGCUUACUAAACUGUCACUGACGCUGAUGCACGAAAGCGUGGGUAUCAAACAGGAUUAGAUA
rnacentral:rRNA from 1 species